rnacentral:lncRNA from 1 species
AAAACCGGCUUAUGACUGCUUCCAGCUGGGGUUCCUGGUGCACUGCCUCAUGGUGAUGGGUCAGCCAGUAUCUGGGACGGGUUCAGAGAUGGGAGGUGUUUUCAGGUCUGCCUCCAUCCCUCUAGAUGGAGAGCACGGUUCUGGAGGAUAUGAAGUCAGCAGACGGGCAGCGAGCUCUGAGGAUGGCAGCACCCAGCUGUGCAUCGUGAGCACCAUCUUGAGAAUGUGGUCCCCUCGGCGCAGGCUGCCAGCCGAGUCUGGAGGAGGAAAGACAGGCUCUCAGCCUGGGCCCUGAACAAUAGACCCUGGCCUCAAGAACUGAGUGGGCAGGCUGGCGGGGUGGCGUACAUGUUUGUUCUACCUUUAAUGCCCUGCAGGAACUUGGGAGCCGUCUCAGGCCAAUGUAUCAGGUUCCCUGGAGCUGGGGUUACUGGUGGAUAUGAACCUUCU